AGCGAACGCUGGCGGCAUGCUUAACACAUGCAAGUCGCACGGGCAGCAAUGUCAGUGGCGGACGGGUGAGUAACGCGUAGGAACGUGUCCUGAGGUGGGGGACAACCCCGGGAAACUGGGGCUAAUACCGCAUAUGGGCUGAGGUCCAAAGCCGAGAGGUGCCUUUGGAGCGGCCUGCGUCCGAUUAGGUAGUUGGUGGGGUAAAGGCCUACCAAGCCUGCGAUCGGUAGCUGGUCUGAGAGGACGACCAGCCACACUGGGACUGAGACACGGCCCAGACUCCUACGAGAGGCAGCAGUGGGGAAGAUUGGACAAUGGGCGAAAGCCUGAGCCAGCAAUGCCGCGUAGGUGAAGAAGGUCGGCGGAACGUAAAGCCCUUUCGACGGGGACGAUGAGGACGGUACCCGUAGAAGAAGCCCCGGCUAACUUCGU
rnacentral:rRNA from 1 species